AGGCUCGCCCAGGCCCGGCCGCCGGCCCGCGCGCACCUGCAGACGCUGCACGUCUUAAGUUUCGAGUGAUUUGGGGAAGGAAAGAGGACCGAGAAGAAAAGAAAAGGGCUCGGGGGGGGGGGGGGGUGGGCGGGUGAGGGGCGGAGGAGAGGACGAAGGAAAAAAGCCGGGAGAGGGAGAAGAAAGAAAUCUUCCUUUUGCAAAAGGAGGCAUAAUGUGGCUUAGAGAACGGCCCCCCUCUCCGCCCUGGGGGAGCCGGGAGGAUGUGCAGCCCCAGUCCUCCUGCUCGGCGGAGCCUCGCGCGCGCAGAGCCUAGCGCGAUUCGCGCCCUCAUUACUACUACAAAGCGCGGGCCAGACCAAUCCCCUUUCUAAUGCACCAUUUUCGACUGAGAACAUCAAGAGGCCAGAAACUUCCAAGUCAGCUUGCAGACGCAGACGCCUCCUGGGGUCCUGGCUUUAAGAACCAGAUGCCAACACUCCCGGACAGUUUAUGGCAUCCGGAUCCCUCAAGGGUGCUCAUCUGCAGUUGAGAGUGUUAGUAGCAAUUAUUUAUCUGUCCUGGAGAGGAGUUCCUGAACAUAAAUGUCCUCUGCUGGCCCUAAAGCUGGGGGCGGAGGCUGUGUGUUGUGGGGUGGGGGUUGGGGGGCCGAAUGUUCCCGGUCCUGUUAUCUGGUUUAGCAGCAUUUGUUGUGGUUUUCGAGGAAACGGCAUUUGGAUUACAUAAGGAUUCAAGUU
rnacentral:lncRNA from 10 species